CCAAAGGGCACCCAGGGGGCACCCAGGGAGCACUGGGGACAGACUGGGAGCACCCACAGUGGGGAACUGGGGACACUGGGGGGGGAAACUGGGACCGGACACAGCUCUGGGACUGGGAUUGUUAUUUUCAUACUGGGAUUGUUAUUUUUGGAUUGGGAUCAUGGAUCUGGGACUGGGAUCAAGGGACUGGGCUCCUGGAUCUGGGACUGGGAUCACUAUUUUCAUACUGGGAUUGCUAUUUUCCUACUGGGAUCACUAUUUUGGGACUGGGAUCGGGACUGAGAUCACGGAUCUGGGACUGAGAUUGCUAUUUUCAUACUGGGAUUGUUAUUUUUGUACUGGGAUCCUGGAUCUGGGACUGGGACCCCAGCUCUGGGAUGCAGCUCUGGGACUGGGACUGUUAUUGUCAUACUGGGAUCGCUGUUUUCAUACUGGGACUGUUAUUUUCAUACUGGGAUCAUGGAUCUGGGACUGGGAUUGGGAUUGAGGAUUUGGGACUGGGAUCCCAGCUCUGGGAUGCAGCUCUGGGACUGGGACUGUUAUUUUCAUACUGGGAUCAUGGAUCUGGGACUGGGAUCCCAGCUCUGGGACUGGGAUCACAGUUUUGGGACUGGGAUUGUUAUUCCUGGACUGGGAUUGUUAUUUCCCUACUGGGAUUGUUAUUCUGGGACUGAGAUCAUGGAUCCAGGAUUGGGAUUGUUAUUCCAGGACUGGGAUCACUGCUCUGGGACUGAGAUCAUGGAAUUGGGAUUGGGAUCUGGGACUGGGAUCGUGGAUCUGGGACUGGGAUCCCAGCUCUGGGAUGCAGCUCUGGGACUGGGAUCACUAUUUUCCUACUGGGAUUGUUAUUCCUGGACUGGGAUCACAGAUCUGGGAUCCCUGUUUUUGUACUGGGAUUGUUAUUUUGGGACUGGGAUCACUAUUUUCCUACUGGGAUUGUUAUUCCUGGACUGGGAUUAUCAUUUUCCUACUGGGAUUGUUAUUCCUGGACUGGGAUCCCAGCUCUGGGAUGCAGCUCCAGACUGGGAUCGCUAUUUUCAUACUGGGAUCGCUAUUUUCAUACUGGGAUUGUUAUUUUCAUACUGGGAUUGCUAUUUUCAUACUGGGAUUGUUAUUUUGGGACUGGGAUCAUGGAUUUGGGACUGGGAUGAAGGAUCUGGGACUGGGAUCCUGGAUCUGGGACUGGGAUCGCUAUUUUCAUACUGGGAUUGUUAUUUCUGGACUGGGAUCAUGGAUCCGGGAUUGGGAUCAUGGAUUUGGGACUGGGAUCCUGGAUCUGGGACUGGGAUCACAGUUUUGGGACUGGGACUGUUAUUUUCAUACUGGGAUCGAGGAUUUGGGACUGGGAUCACAGGACUGGGAUUGGGACUGGGAUCGGGACUGGGAUCCUGGAUCUGGGACUGGGAUCCCAGCUCUGGGAUG
rnacentral:lncRNA from 1 species